AUGAAAUACCUGUAAAUUUCACAAUUCUCUAGAAAGCCCAUGCAUUCUCUGGUUUACCGCAGGCCCCACUGCUCCCUGUUGCCUGACCCCAGGUGGCACAAAAGUUUGGGACUCCCUAGGGGAUGUUAGCAGCACCUCAACUUGUCUAUGUCUUCAGAUCUUCAGGCCAACAACUCACCCCGGCCUCAUGCACCCCUACCCUGCCCCUGGGCUUUCUGAAAACUGCCAGAACAGCUCC
rnacentral:lncRNA from 1 species